CACGGGUGAKUAACGCGUGGGAACCUGCCCUGAGGUUCGGAAUAACGGCUGGAAACGGCCGCUAAUACCGGAUAAGCCCUGAGGGGGAAAGAUUUAUCGCCUUGGGAGGGGCCCGCGUCCGAUUAGCUUGUUGGUGUGGUAAUGGCGCACCAAGGCUGCGAUCGGUAGCUGGUCUGAGAGGAUGAUCAGCCACACUGGGACUGAGACACGGCCCAGACUCCUACGGGAGGCAGCAGUGGGGAAUAUUGGACAAUGGGGGAAACCCUGAUCCAGCAAUGCCGCGUGUGUGAAGAAGGCCCUAGGGUUGUAAAGCACUUUCAGUCGUGACGAUGAUGACGGUAACGACAGAAGAAGCCCCGGCUAACUCCGUGCCAGCAGCCGCGGUAAUACGGAGGGGGCAAGCGUUGUUCGGAAUUACUGGGCGUAAAGGGCGCGUAGGCGGCCAAGUCAGUCAGGCGUGAAAGCCCGGGGCUCAACCCCGGAAUUGCGCUUGAUACUGCUAGGCUAGAGAUCGGAAGAGGGUAGUGGAACUCCCAGUGUAGAGGUGAAAUUCGUAGAUAUUGGGAAGAACACCAGUGGCGAAGGCGGCUACCUGGUCCGGAUCUGACGCUGAGGUGCGAAAGCGUGGGGGAGCAAACAGGAUUAGAUACCCUGGUAGUCCACGCYGUAAACGAUGAAUGCUAGACGUCGGSAAACUUGUUUUUCGGUGUCGCCGCUAACGCAUUAAGCAUUCCGCCUGGGGAGUACGGCCGCNAGGUUAAAACUCAAUGAAUUGAC
rnacentral:rRNA from 1 species